GGCCGAGUGGCAGAAUGGCUAUGCAGCGGAUUGCAAAUCCGUGUACAUCGGUUCGAUUCCGGUCUCGGCCUCCA
rnacentral:tRNA from 1 species